rnacentral:rRNA from 1 species
AUUGAACGCUGGCGGCAUGCCUUACACAUGCAAGUCGAACGGCAGCGCGGGAGCAAUCCUGGCGGCGAGUGGCGAACGGGUGAGUAAUGCAUCGGAACGUGCCUAGUAGUGGGGGAUAACUGCUCGAAAGAGCAGCUAAUACCGCAUACGACCUGAGGGUGAAAGGGGGGGAUCGCAAGACCUCUCGCUAUUAGAGCGGCCGAUGUCGGAUUAGCUAGUUGGUGGGGUAAAGGCCCACCAAGGCAACGAUCCGUAGCUGGUCUGAGAGGACGACCAGCCACACUGGGACUGAGGCACGGCCCAGACUCCUACGGGAGGCAGCAGUGGGGAAUUUUGGACAAUGGACGCAAGUCUGAUCCAGCCAUGCCGCGUGCGGGAAGAAGGCCUUCGGGUUGUAAACCGCUUUUGUCAGGGAAGAAAUCUUCUGGGCUAAUACCCUGGGAGGAUGACGGUACCUGAAGAAUAAGCACCGGCUAACUACGUGCCAGCAGCCGCCGCCGUAA